rnacentral:lncRNA from 1 species
UAGCUAGUUAGCUAGGGCUGGACUUUUGGAGAGAUGACACGGUUAGUGAUUGAGAUUUGAAAGUCAUUAGCUCAUAGAUGGGGUCAUUAGCUUCCAGAGAAGUGGAAGGGUAUGUAUUAGUCAACCUUCUGUUGCUGUAACAAAUAGCUGAGUGAAAUAACUUAUAAGAAGGAAAGACUUAUUUUGGCUCAUGGUUUCAGUUCAUGGUCGGUUGACAUGUUGGUUGCUUUUGGACCUGUGCAAGACAGAACAUCAUGGCAGAGAGUGCACAGUAGAGCAAAGCUACUCAGCUCAUGGCAUCUGGAAAGUGAAGGGAAAGACCAGAGGGGCUUGGAAGAGGGUCUUAACAUCUCUUUCAAGAGCAUGGAAAGCAGGUUGUGCCCUGCUCUGAGUUAGUCCACAAUGUAUAGAGCAGUAGUUCUCGGAUUAUUCCUAAACUGUGUUACUCUAUUCUAUAAAGCAAUAGUUUGCCAUCAGCGACUCCAUUUUGAGUUUAAGUGUAGAGAUUGAAUGACUCCACACUUUGUUUGUACAAGUAAGAAAUGACCAUCUGCCUGGCACAACCAUAAACACAAACUGAUAAAUCAAUUAUGCUAAUAAAAAUGGCCACCUGUGAACUUAUUGAAUUAAUCAGAAGCACAUGAAUGCAUGCAUGGGUGUAUCAAACUCAUACUGGAAAAACCAGGCCCAAGACCUUAUUGAACAUACCAUAACCCCUCAUUCAAGACCCAUAAAAGGAGGAGCACCUGAACCCCUGGACAUGGCAGCACACUGACCCAAUCUCCUAGUCACUCCCUGUCAUGAGCCUUGCCCAAGAAAAUUGCCACAGCAAUGAAUUUCCAAAUCUCUGUCUUUGGGCUUCAACAGAGCAUGGUUUCUCCUACCUAUGACAACUAUGCAGGACCCACUCCAAGCUGACAUCUCAAGCUAAUGGUCUGCAACUGCCAUCCUUUUGGACCUUGACCUAGACUCAUUUCCUG